rnacentral:lncRNA from 1 species
GAUGACUUGUAAGAAUAUUGCUGCCCUCUCCAUGUUUAGCCAUCCCAUCCCUAUGGAAGGGGCGAAGGACUCGCCAUACAACCGCUUGUAGGAAUACUGCUAUCCUCUCCAUGUCUACCAGCUCCAAAGGAGAACUCGCCACAUCCCUAUAGGUGGGGGAGGACUUGCCAUUUGACUUCUUGUAGGACUUGUAGGAAUAUUGUUGCCCUCUCCAUGUCUAACCGGGCCAUGUAAAUUACAAAAUGUAAUAAUAAUAAUAAUAAUAAUAAUUUGUAAAAUCCAUGCCAGCUAUUGUCACUGAAGUAAUAAUCUGUUAUAUAUUUUAAACAAUACCUAUUUGGUGAAUCAUGAGUUUGUGUUGCCCCAGCACCAUGAACAGGAGGUUCCCUGUAAUAAAGAAUAUCCACAAAAUCAAAAACAAUUUAC